rnacentral:tRNA from 1 species
GAGGAUAUAGCUCAGUGGUAGAGUGCAUGCCUAGCAUGCACCAGGUCCUGGGUUCAAUCCCCAGUAUCUCCA